UGGGCUUUUCCUCCAUUUUUCCUGAUAACCCCCUACAGAAAUAGACAAACAGCAAAACUCGUGGAAUUCUGUCAGAUAAAACCCUAAGUCUGGGUGUUGGUUGCAUAUAAGUCCUUUUUCAUGAUUAGUUGACGGUUAAAUGUGAGCAUUAAGGACCGUCAACAAGCUCCCCCAAGCUUAACCUUUGCUCGUUCCUGAGCAAAGCUAAAAUCAGUAAGAAAACAGAGGUUACUUUUAUGCGUCUUGCUACAGGGUUUUUUAAGUUAUCACUAAGGUCUUAAGUGAUUGAAAAACAGAACGAUCAAGUCAAGCACUAUGUCUCAGGUUCUUCUGUCUUACCUUUGUUCUGGAGUUUUUUAUAAGUUUCCUAAAAUAAAACUGAAGCAUUUGCCUUCUUCUCGAAAGAUAUAUAAGUAGAGCUUUAAAAGUUUUUAGCAUACUUACUUUGCAUUUUGCUAUGUGAAUGCUCGGAGCAAGGGAGAGGAAUGUCAUACUCCUAGAUCAAGACCUUUGACCUUUUUGAAAAGUUUUUCACCUCAUACUGGCAUAUUGCUUAUUAAAGGGACCAUGGGCUAUAAUUUUUUUUCUUUCUUUUUUUUCAGUCUCUCUCUCUUUUUUUUCAAGUGGGCACCAAGUACCCCCAAUUCUACUAUCGGACACGUGUCUGUUGACAUUCGUUAAGUGCAAUAAGAAUAAGAAAAAUUCCGCGAGCGCACAGAACAUCAUCGUAGCAUUUUACCGGGAGUAUUCCAGGUAUCGUUAUUUAUAUUUUACCACUGGGAAGCUAAGGUCAAAGAAUCUGAUAACUUACUAUCAUGCCUCUACUAAUUUAAUAAACCAACUAGACUAAAGUAGGGGUAAAUGAUAUAUGAUAGGUAAUAAUAUAAAGAUGAGAAUUCUAUGAUAAAUGCGUAGAUACCCAUAGCGGGAGGACAACGGGAGAGACCUAGGUUCCUGUAUACUUCUCUAUAACUUCAGUUAUAUGAUAACAAAGAAUGAAUAGAUAUAGCAAUCACAUACUAGCACUUUGGGACAUCAGAACACCAACCACAGAAAGAGAACUGGAAGGGGGCUGGGAAGCUCUGACUACGGUCCUACAAACACCGAUCCGAACGAGGUGGAAUACGUCGACCGUUAGGGCUGUCACUACCCUAGGUCUACCACAACAAUCCGCAGGACUGGAUGCAACCUCAGGUAACCUCUAGUAUAGACACCAUGUCUACACUAACGAUUACUACUCUAAUUACCAUGAAUAACUAGAGCACUCGAUGCGAACGAAGAUCCUAUGCCAAAAUAUAACAACUACACUACUCGAUAAUAAUAAAGGCGUAAAAGUAAAUAGAGAAAAUAAAUAUAUUAAAGCAUAAGUCUUACAAUAAAGACAUACCAAAACUCUGAAGACUUCUCCAGAACCGAAGCACAGCUCUGCUCUCCCUAACUCCCAACUAGGACUAAUCUACUACAUUAGAAUGUCUAGCCCU
rnacentral:lncRNA from 1 species